rnacentral:rRNA from 1 species
GAUGAACGCUGGCGGCGUGCCUAAUACAUGCAAGUCGAACGCUGAAGGAGGAGCUUGCUCUUCUGGAUGAGUUGCGAACGGGUGAGUAACGCGUAGGUAACCUGCCUGGUAGCGGGGGAUAUCUAUUGGAAACGAUAGCUAAUACCGCAUGACAACAGUUAUUGCAUGAUAACUGUUUAAAAGGGGCAACUGCUCCACUACCAGAUGGACCUGCGUUGUAUUAGCUAGUUGGUGAGGUAACGGCUCACCAAGGCGACGAUACAUAGCCGACCUGAGAGGGGGAUCGGCCACACUGGGACUGAGACACGGCCCAGACUCCUACGGGAGGCAGCAGUAGGGAAUCUUCGGCAAUGGACGGAAGUCUGACCGAGCAACGCCGCGGGAGGGAAGAAGGGUUUCGGAUCGUAAAGCUCUGUUGUAAGAGAAGAACGAGUGUGAGAGUGGAAAGUUCACACUGUGACGGUAUCUGACCAGAAAGGGACGGCUAACUACGUG